UGGGGAAUUUUGCACAAUGGGGGAAACCCUGAUGCAGCGACGCCGCGUGAUUUAGAAGGCCUUCGGGUUGUAAAAAUCUUUUCUAUGGGAAGAAAAUGACAGUACCAUAGGAAUAAGGACCGGCUAAUUACGUGCCAGCAGCCGCGGUAAUACGUAAGGUCCGAGCGUUGUCCGGAAUCAUUGGGCGUAAAGGGUACGUAGGCGGGUAAGCAAGUUAGAAGUGAAAUCCUAUAGCUCAACUAUAGUAAGCUUUUAAAACUGCUCAUCUUGAGGUAUGGAAGGGAAAGGGGAAUUCCUAGUGUAGCGGUGAAAUGCGCAGAUAUUAGGAGGAAUACCGGUGGCGAAGGCGACUUUCUGGCCAUAACCUUACGCUGAGGUACGAAAGCGUGGGUAGCAAACAGG
rnacentral:rRNA from 1 species